UUAAAUUGAAGAGUUUGAUCAUGGCUCAGAUUGAACGCUGGCGGCAGGCCUAACACAUGCAAGUCGAACGGUAACAGGAAUCAGCUUGCUGAUUCGCUGACGAGUGGCGGACGGGUGAGUAAUGUCUGGGAAACUGCCUGAUGGAGGGGGAUAACUACUGGAAACGGUAGCUAAUA
rnacentral:rRNA from 1 species